UACGGGGGGGGGCAAGCGUUGUUCGGAAUUACUGGGCGUAAAGGGCUUGUAGGUGGCCAACUAAGUCAGACGUGAAAUCCCUCGGCUUAACCGGGGAACUGCGUCUGAUACUGGAUGGCUUGAGUUUGGGAGAGGGAUGCGGAAUUCCAGGUGUAGCGGUGAAAUGCGUAGAUAUCUGGAGGAACACCGGUGGCGAAGGCGGCAUCCUGGACCAAGACUGACACUGAAAAGCGAAAGCCAGGGGAGCAAACGGG
rnacentral:rRNA from 1 species